UGCUGGGAAAUUGGCGCGAAAAUUGCGUUCGAAGGGGGAGUAGAGGGAGGAAAACGGAUGAAAUAGGCGAGGGGAGUGAAGAAACGCAGACAGGCGACCGCUCGAUGGACACAGCAUGGACGGGUGGGUCUGGACACACAAAGGA
ensembl:ncRNA K11D9.7 ncRNA